UACGAAGGGGGCUAGCGUUGCUCGGAAUGACUGGGCGUAAAGGGCGCGUAGGCGGUUUGUACAGUCAGGUGUGAAAUUCCCGGGCUCAACCUGGGGGCUGCACUUGAUACGUAUGGACUGGAGUGGGGAAGAGGGUCAUGGAAUUCCCAGUGUAGAGGUGAAAUUCGUAGAUAUUGGGAAGAACACCGGUGGCGAAGGCGGCAUCCUGGACCAAUUCUGACGCUGAGUGAGCGAAAGCCAGGGGAGCAAACGGG
rnacentral:rRNA from 1 species